rnacentral:rRNA from 1 species
AGUGAACGCUGGCGGUAGGCUUAACACAUGCAAGUCGAACGGCAGCACAUUAAUAGCUUGCCCUUACGGGUGGCGAGUGGCGGACGGGUGCGGAAUACAUCGGAACCUACUCUUUCGUGGGGUAUUACGAAGCGAAACUUACGCUAAUACAGCAUACGACCUACGGGUGAAAGCACUGGAUCUUCGGUCCUUGCGCGAUUGAAUGAGCCGUUGUCGGAUUAGAUAGUUGGCGGGGUAAAGGCCCACCAAGGCGACGCACCGUAGCUGGUCUGAGAGAUGGAUCGGCGACAGUGGGAGUGGAAGACGGGCCAGACUCCGACGGGAGGCAGGAGUGGGGAAUAUUGGACGAUGGGAGCGAGCAAGAUCCAGCCAUACCGCAUGGGUUGAGGAGGCCUUCGGGUGGGAAAGCAGUUUUGUUGGGAAAGAAAAGCAGCAGGUUAAGGCCAAGAAGUUCUGACGGUACCCAAAGAAUAAGCACCGGCUAACUUCGUG